AAAAAAAAAAAAAAAAUCCCCGGCUAUCAAUUAUUACCUGAGGCUCAUUAAUUACCUCGAUAUCACUCUUAAUGGCCUCACCUGAUUGAAAAAAAAGGUAAUUACAGUUUUAACUAUUACGAGGCCACCAUUAUUAUUAUUAUUACCAUCACUGUCAUCAUCAUCAUCAUCAUCAUCAUCACUAUCAUUACAGGCGUGAAAUAAUUAUGAAUAUGAAUUAAUUGUUUCGUAAUUGAAGCCCGGAUGAAGUUUUUUCUAAUGGGGUGAAUGGGGAGGAAAAAAGGGAGGUGUAAAUGGAUGGGGAGGAAUAGAGGAAUAGGGGGGAAGAAUAAGGGGGUGAAAUAGAGGAGUGGGGAGGGAUAAAAUAAUGGGAUGGAAGACGUUAAUGGGAGAGGAAGACGUGAAUGGGGAGGAAUAAAUGAAUGGGGAAGAAAUACAGGAAUGGGUGAGGAAUAAAUAUAUGGGGAGGAAUAAAUGAAUGGGGAAGGGGGAAAGGAAUGGAGAGGAAAAAUGAAUGAGGAUGGGUAAAGGAAUGGAGAGGAAGAAAUGAAUGGGGAUGGAUUAAGGAAUGGGGGAGGAAAAAAUGAAUGGGGAAGGGGGAAAGAAAUGGGAAGGAAAAAAAAGAAUAAGGAGGAAUGAAGGAACUAAUUAGAGCAAGGUAGGCAAGGUAGGUGAAGGGAUGUGAGGGAGGAAAAGAAAGCAAAUACAUAAAGGUAAAACUGAUUAGGGAAGGGCAAGGUAAGGGAGGCGAGGGCGGUGAAGGUAAGGGAGGAAUGGGUGAAUGGUCCUUGCCUUAAUGAAUGGGCCGAGUGUGUGGGGGAAUAAAUGGGUGGGUAAUUCCAUCUCUCUAAUGACCGGGUUUAUGGUAAUGGGAGAAGUCAGUUGGGGUCUUGCCCGUAUGCUAAUGGGGGGAAUAUGGUGUAUGUAGGGUAACCAGCGGCGUGGGGGGGAAGGGGGAUUAAGGGAGGGGGUAGUGUUAGGUAGGUAAGCGAAAGGGAGGGUCAUAUAAGGGAGGAUAGGUAAUGGGGUAAUGGUAGGGGAUGUAAAAAGGUAAGAAAAUAGGUAAAAAUUGGUUAAGUGGGGGGUGGUUGUGUUAGGUAGGGAAGCGAAGGGGAGGGGUAGGUAAGAUAAAGGGAGAUAGGUAAACGGGUAAUGGUAGGGAAGGUAAAUAAAGGGGUGUAUGGUAUAGCUAAGGGGUGUGAAUGGUAGGAAAAGACGAAGGGGUGAAUGGUAUUGUACUUUAUCUCCCUUAGCAAUGGUAGGUAGUGAAGGUAGAAGUAUAGAUGGAAUAGUAGGAAUAAUGGGAAGGGGCGAGAGAGAUGGUGAGAAAUCAGUGUUAGGGAAUGGUAGGGAUAAUAAGUAAUGGUAGAGGUAAUAUUAGGGAAGGAAUGGUUGGAAGAGCUAAAUGGGUAAGGAUGUAAUGGUUGCGGAGAAGGGAAAUAAGAGGAAAGGUAAAAAAAUAGGCUAGGAAAGGUAGCGAAAGGUACUAAAGGAUGUUAAUUAAAGGUAAAAGGUAGGCAAGAUAAGGUAAGUUAGGGAAGGUAAGGUACAGGCAGUGAGGGUGGCGGAAGAGAAGGGAGGAAAAAGGCAGAUAAUUUAAAGGUGUAGCUAGGUAAGCAAAGGUAGGUUAGGAAAGGUAAGGGAAGGAGAGCGAGGGUGGCGGAAGGUAAGUGAGGAAAAUAGGUUGAGAGUUUAAAGGUAAAAUUAGAUAAGGUAAGGGUGUCGGAAGGCAAGGAAGGAAAGGUAGGGAUGGAUUAUAUAGGUAGAACUGAUUAGGGGAAGGAGGAUAGGUAUGAUAAGGUAAGAGAAGGGAAGCGAGGGUGGAGAAGGUAAGGAAGGGAAAGGUAGAGAAUAUAAGGGUAAAACUCAUUAAGGGAAGGGAAGGAGAGCGAGGGAGGUGACGGGAAGGAAAAGAAAACGAAGAGGACAUAUAGGUAAGAGAAGGUAAACGAGGGUGGAGAAGGUAAGGAAGGGAAAGGAAGAGAAUAUAAGGGUAAAACUCAUUAAGGGAAGGGAAGGAGAGCGAGGGAGGUGACAGGAAGGAAAAGAAAACGAAGAGGACAUAUAGGUAAGAGAAGGUAAACGAGGGUGGAGAAGGUAAGGAAGGGAAAGGAAGAGAAUAUAAGGGUAAAACUCAUUAAGGGAAGGUAAGUUAAGGAGAGCGAGGGAGGUGACUAAGGGAAAAAUGGAAGAGAACAUAAUUAUAGGUAAGAGUGAUUAAUGAAAUGUAAGGAAAGGGAAGUGAUGAAGGUGAAAGGCAAGAAAAAGAAGAACAGGAAAAGGUGAGGAAAUUAAUCUGUUUCUUAAGGUAAAUGAAAGGAAUAGUUUGUGUGUGUUUUACAGGUAAAGGUGAAAGACAAGAAAAGAAAGACAGGAAAAGGUAAAGGAAAUUGAUCUGUUCCUUAAGGUAAAUGAAAGGAAUAGUUUGUGUGUUUUACAGGUAUAGGUUAGAGUAGUAGUUUGUUUCUAGAUUAGUAUAAGCGAAAAAUCUUUAAAGUCUAAUAAUAAAAGGGGAAUAAUUGAUAGGUGGUAAUGGCGAGGUGGGUGAAGGUAAAUGCUAGUGAUAGACAAUGGAGGUAAUGGUGAUGGGCGGGUGGGUAGGUAGGGAGGGUGAACAGGUCAAGGGUAACGCUGCCCAUCUUACCCGAAGAGAAAAAAAAAAGCAGAAGGAAGGAAAGUUAGCGAAAUAAAUGCAUGAAUGACAGUAAGGAGGAAAAGAAAAUUAAAAAAAUGAAAGAAAAUAUGAAGGAAAGAGACCGCAAUGAGACAAGAAAGUAAGAUAGUAAAGAGGAAAAUAAAAUAAAUCAUGCGGUGUGUCUUGGAUGGCUGUAUCAGUAGUCGCCCAUAAUAAUGACACUGGUAAUAAUGAUAAUAAUCGCGAUGAUAGAAUAAUGAAAAUGAUGAUAAAAAUGUUGCUUCUGACACUAGUACUACUUAUAAUAAUAAUGAUAAGAAAAAUAAUAGUAGCUGUGAUAAUGAUAGCUACAACAACAACAAUAGGAGCAGCGAGUAGCGGGCUUUUUAUUUAUUAUUGUUUCCUUUUUUUGUGCCCUUGAACUGUCUCCUUUGUUGUAAAAAAAAAUAAUAAUGAUGUAAAAGGAACGUGUGAAGUCAUGCGAAGAACCAAAACAAUAAUAGCAACUGUGAUAACAACAACAACAACAACAACAACAGCAGCAAUACCAGUACUAAAGGCAAUGAUAGUAAUGACCAAAAUAGCCCCGUGGUGUGAUUAGCGCCGAAAAGGUCACCUGCAUAACUUAGCCGCGGAGACACACCUGGCGGCGGGCGGGGCGGCGGGCGGUGGUAGGAGAGUAAGCAGCCACCGAUCACCUCCACAUAGACGGAGAGAAGACGACCACCGCGUUAACAUUUACUCAUCUCUGUGGCCUUGGAAAACAAUCGUAAUGGCGCCCGAUACGUUGAGAAAUACUGACCUAAGAAGCAACCUGAAUAUAUGAGAGAAAGAACUUGAAUAUAAAAGAGAGAAAGAGUAACGUUGGUAAAGAUAAAAGACAUGAUAAAUAGUACACGUGAUAAUAUGAUCAGAAUACGAAAAAAAUAAAGAUAAUAAACAGUGAUGAGAAGCGUGGAUGAUAAAGUGAGGAUAAUCGGAUAAAGUAAUAAUAAAGAGGAGUAAUAAUGAUGAUAAACGGAUAAUAAAGUGAUGAUAAACGAGUAAUAAAGUAAUGUUAAUGAGGAAUAAUAAAGUGAGGAUAAAUGGAUGAUAAAGUAAUAAAAAAAUAAAAGCCAUGAGAAAUGUGGACAGUAAAGUGAAGAUCAACGGAUAAUAAAGUAACUCUAAAGAUAAAUAAUAAAGUAAGGAUAAACGAGAAUAAUGAAGUGAUGAUAAACUUGUAAUAAAUUAAUAAUAAAGAGGAAUGACAAAGUGAUGAUAAGUGGAUAAUUAAGUAAUGAAAAAGAGGAAGGAUAAAGUGAUGACUAACGUAUCAUAAAGUAAUAAUAAAGAAUAAUAAAACGAGGAUAAGCAAGAAUAAUUAACUCACCAACAGAAACAUUGCCGCAAAGAAAGAAAAAAAAAAGAUAAACGGUAUUUCGGAAAGGAGCGAGGGAAAAUUCGGAGGUGAAAGUCGGGUCACUCUAAAACGAUCACUCUUGCAGCGCGGGUGUGAGCGAAGGCGGAACCCCCCCAAAAAAGAAGAGAAGAAAAAAAACUGCUAGGCCUAUUUUUUAUGGUCGUGGGAUAAAGUCAGAGGCUCCGUAAAUGCAAACAAAUGUAUCUGACCCACUUAGAAAAAAAAAUACGCCUCUGGAACGAUAUUUUUAUUUCUUUUUCGGCUUUGUCUUGAUCCGCCUCUUGCCCGUAAAUAGUGAUAGCCUAAGAACUUACCAUUGAUAAAGAAAGCAAUGGUAUCUCUAAAAACAUGACCGAUUUGAAAACAGGGCGCCUUUUAAACCUUAUUUCCUACGUUUUUUUUUUUUUGAUAGCCUAAGAACUUACCAUUAAUAAAGAAAGCAAUGGUAUCUCUAAAAACAUGACCCAUUUGAAAACAGGGCGCCUCUUAAACCUUAUUUCCUACUGUUUUUUUUUUUUGAUAGCCUAAAAACUUACUAUCGAUAAAGAAAGCAAUGAUAUCUCUAAAAACAUGACCCAUUU